UUGGUUAAGUUAGAAAGGGCGCACGGUGGAUGCCUUGGCACUAGGAGCCGAAGAAGGACGGGACUAACACCGAUAUGCUUUGGGGAGCUGUACGUAAGCGUUGAUCCAGAGAUUUCCGAAUGGGGGAACCCACUAUCUUUAGUCGGAUAGUAUCCUUACGUGAAUACAUAGCGUGAGGAAGGCAGACCCAGGGAACUGAAACAUCUAAGUACCUGGAGGAAGAGAAAGAAAAAUCGAUUUCCUGAGUAGCGGCGAGCGAAACGGAAAGAGCCCAAACCAAGAAGCUUGCUUCUUGGGGUUGUAGGACACUCUAUACGGAGUUACAAAAGAAAGUUAUAAAUGAAGCGGUCUGGAAAGGCCCGCCAAAGACGGUAACAGCCCGGUAGUUGAAAUGGCUUUCCCUCCAGAGUGGAUCCUGAGUACGGCGGAACACGUGAAAUUCCGUCGGAAUCCGGGAGGACCAUCUCCCAAGGCUAAAUACUCCCUAGUGACCGAUAGUGAACCAGUACCGUGAGGGAAAGGUGAAAAGCACCCCGGAAGGGGAGUGAAACAGUUCCUGAAACCGUGUGCCUACAAGUAGUUAGAGCCCGUUAAUGGGUGAUAGCGUGCCUUUUGUAGAAUGAACCGGCGAGUUACGAUUUGUUGCAAGGUUAAGCGGAAAAAGCGGAGCCGUAGCGAAAGCGAGUCUGAAUAGGGCGCAUAAGUAACAGGUCGUAGACCCGAAACCAGGUGAUCUACCCAUGUCCAGGAUGAAGGUAAGGUAAUACUUACUGGAGGUCCGAACCCACGCACGUUGAAAAGUGCGGGGAUGAGGUGUGGGUAGCGGAGAAAUUCCAAUCGAACUUGGAGAUAGCUGGUUCUCUCCGAAAUAGCUUUAGGGCUAGCCUCGAGGUAAAGAGUCAUGGAGGUAGAGCACUGUUUGGACUAGGGGCCCUUCUCGGGUUACCGAAUUCAGAUAAACUCCGAAUGCCAUGUACUUAUACUCGGGAGUCAGACUGCGAGUGAUAAGAUCCGUAGUCGAAAGGGAAACAGCCCAGACCACCAGUUAAGGUCCCCAAAUAUAUGUUAAGUGGAAAAGGAUGUGGGGUUGCUUAGACAACCAGGAUGUUGGCUUAGAAGCAGCCACCAUUGAAAGAGUGCGUAAUAGCUCACUGGUCGAGUGACCCCGCGCCGAAAAUGUACCGGGGCUAAACAUAUUACCGAAACUGUGGAUGAACCUCUUUAGAGGUUCGUGGUAGGAGAGCGUUCUAAGGGCGGUGAAGUCAGACCGGAAGGACUGGUGGAGCGCUUAGAAGUGAGAAUGCCGGUAUGAGUAGCGAAAGAAGGGUGAGAAUCCCUUCCACCGAAUAUCUAAGGUUUCCUGAGGAAGGCUCGUCCGCUCAGGGUUAGUCGGGACCUAAGCCGAGGCCGAUAGGCGUAGGCGAUGGACAACAGGUAGAGAUUCCUGUACCAGUGCUAAUUGUUUAACCGAUGGGGUGACACAGAAGGAUAGGGAAUCGCACGAAUGGAAAUGUGCGUCCAAGCAGUGAGUGUGAGAAGUAGGCAAAUCCGCUUCUCGCGAAGCAUGAGCUGUGAUGGGGAAGGAAAUUAAGUACGGAAGUUCCUGAUUUCACGCUGUCAAGAAAAGCCUCUAGGAAGAGUAGUACUGCCCGUACCGCAAACCGACACAGGUAGAUGAGGAGAGAAUCCUAAGGUGAGCGAGAGAACUCUCGUUAAGGAACUCGGCAAAAUGACCCCGUAACUUCGGGAGAAGGGGUGCUCUAUUAGGGUGCAAGCCCGAGAGAGCCGCAGUGAAUAGGCCCAGGCGACUGUUUAGCAAAAACACAGGUCUCUGCAAAACCGUAAGGUGACGUAUAGGGGC
rnacentral:rRNA from 1 species